UUUUUACGUAGCUAUGGUCUUUAUAGUUUUGUAGCUUUCUAUGCUCCAAAGUGUGUUAAUUAUCUGAUUUAAGUUCUGUAAUCAUUAGAAAUCGUGAACCGUGGUGUGAAUUUUUCGAAGCUUUAGGUUUAGCGUAUUGGCAUUGCUAUCAGGACAAAAAUUUAUUUGGUUCUCGGGAGAUAUCUUAUGUCAUACUCCAGCUUCCAGCAGUUUUUGCAAAAGGAAUCAUAUGCUCGAAGGUUGAACAUCAGACUGGAAUGUUAACUGAAGUUGCUUCGUAAGAGGCCCUAAAGAUUCCAGAAUUGAAAGUGUCAUCAAAUACUCUUUUAAAAGUAGAAUCAUACAAAUCACUUGGAUUCGAGAACUUAAGCUUAAGUAUUCGAUACAGCUUUGUCUUAAUUGUAUCCAGUUUUGUAAAUAAAUGAGGCUCUUAA